GCUUAACGUUUUUGACAUUUUGACGUCUCAUUAUUUCUCUAUUUUUAUAGUUUAUAUUCUGAAGCAAAAUGAUACAUAAUGCGUUAUACAGAAGACUGAAUAUGAAUUAUAUUGUGUAUUCCCAUGUAGCAGCAAAAAUUGUUAGAAGAUGUUUAAAAAAAGAAUACAAACGAUCUGCUUCAGAAAGAGAAAGGAGUGUUAUCAAAAUUUAUAAUUUUCAGCUGGGUAAGAAAGCUGACGAAGUUGAAACUUUGAAGAUCAAUUCUUCUAAGGAGAAUAUCGUGGAUGAAAAAGUAAAAAUUGUACAAUAUAACUGAUGUCACAUGGCCAUAAACGAAUAUAAAAAAUAUCGAGGCUC